GUGUCAGCCGCCGCGGUAAUACGUAGGGUGCGAGCGUUAAUCGGAAUUACUGGGCGUAAAGCGUGCGCAGGCGGCUUUGCAAGUCAGACGUGAAAUCCCCGGGCUUAACCUGGGAAUGGCGUUUGAAACUACGGAGCUGGAGUGUGGCAGAGGGGGGUAGAAUUCCACGUGUAGCAGUGAAAUGCGUAGAUAUGUGGAGGAAUACCGAUGGCGAAGGCAGCCCCCUGGGCCAACACUGACGCUCAUGCACGAAAGCGUGGGGAGCAAACAGGAUUAGAUACCCUGGUAGUCCACGCCCUAAACUAUGUCAACUAGUUGUUGGGGGAGUUAAAUCCCUUAGUAACGCAGCUAACGCGUGAAGUUGACCGCCUGGGGAGUACGGUCGCAAGAUUAAAACUUAAAUGAAUUGACGGGG
rnacentral:rRNA from 1 species